UGGGAGUAGCAGUUGGGGUGUGGGAGUGGAUAUUAAGAGUCUAGGGGUGAGAACCUGGGGAAUAGGGGUAGGAACUGGAGGCCUGAAGUGGGAAGUGGGGGAAUGGAGGUGAGAAUUUGGGAUCUGGGAGGUGAGAACUGGGGGUUGAGGUGGGAAUUGGGGGACUGGGAGCAGCAAUUGGGCUCUGGGAGUAGAUAUAAGUCUCAGGGUGAGCAUAGAAGGUCUCUAGUGGGAACUGGGGAGCUGGGGGUGGGACUUGGGGGAAUCAGGAUGGGAGCUGAGAGGUGAGAACUGGGGGAGUGGGGCUGGAAAUUGGAAGUCUGGGGGUGAGAACUGGGGGGCUGGAGGUGGGAGCUGGAGGAAUGGGUAGAAAGUGGGGGACUGGGAGCGGAUACUGGGGGUUGAGGGGUGAGAAUUGGAGGAAUGGGAAUUGGAGGACUGGGAAUUGGGGUCUGGGUGUGGGAAUUGGGAAGAACUAGGGUGGGAAAUGGUGGGCUGGGGGUGAGAACUGGGAGUUGGGGUCAGAAUUGGGGAACUAGAGGUGAGAAUUGGGGGACUGGGAAUGGGAAUUGGGGGACAAGGAAUAGGAAUUGGGGGAUGGAAAUGGGGCAGUUGGGAGGCUAGGAGUGGGAAUUGGGAUCCUGGGGCUGGGAACUGGGUGAAUUAGGGGAAUUGGAAUAGGAACUGGGGAAUGGAGGUGGGAACUAGGGGGAUAGGGGUGGGGAUUGAGGGAAUUGGAAUGGGGAUUGGGGGUUGGAGAUGGCACCAGGCACUGGCACCAGCCCCUGGGAUUUCCUCGGUGCCUUAGGGCAUCACCUGUGGAGGGAGAGCAAUCGGAGUGCAAGAUUUGGAUAAGAAUCAUCCCAAAAGAGCCACUUUUUCCCUUUCUCUGGUUUGCAAGAGGGAAACUGAAGCAUGGAGGAGGGGGGCAGGUGCUUGGCCCCGUGUGCAAUGGAGCUGGGGUGGCACGGUGGAAGACGCACGCUCUCACCAUGCAAAUAUCCCUAAAAAUGGGCUGUUGUUUUGCUUUGUAGCUUUUGUCACAUAUUCAAAUCAUGCAGUAUUUGUGUUAGGGCUAUUUUAGUUCGUUUGCCAGAGUGUUGUUCCAGGAAUGCAAUGUUUUCCCUGGCAGCAAAAGCCUUUGUUCGUGUUUUCCUCCUCCUUGCGUGUUUUCCUCUCUGCUCGCAGCCCUGGGGGCUGCCGUGGUCUGCUUGUGCUCAAAACCAGUGCAGGAGCCUGGCGAGGGUGAGCAGAGCUUCUGCUCCUUUUUGAAGAUGCCAGCCAAUGAACCCAACUGAUGAACCCAGCCAAUGAACCCAACUGAUGAACUCAGCCAAUGAACCCAACUGAUGAACCCAAACAAUGAACCCAACCGAUGAACCCAAGCCAGUUCCUCUGGCCGUGCUUGAAUUAAACAGCAUUUUUCUGACUUUUACAAAGUCGCUCAGCCCCGUUACAGCCUCUGGAAUACCAAAGCAGCUCAUGAGUGAGAAGCCAAAUUACUGUCCUUGACCAUGAUGGGGAAGUUUGGGCUAUAAUUCAGUGAUGCGUCUCCCAUGAAGAUGUGCUUAACAGGGUUCAGAGGGCAGUCACAAAUCAAGGAGCGUCGCAACGGGCCACCUGGUGUUCAGCAAGAUAGAAGUCAGACAGCAAGAAGCUUGCUUGCAAAGGAAUGAAAACGUGAAAAAGUUGUGACUGAUCUGAAAUGCACUGGAACAGGCAUCUGGGGCAAUCUGCAUGUGUGGGGAUGAAAUUAGGGCAAGUGCCCUGGCUGAACCCCAGCUGAAUGGAACACCCAAUCACACAGAGGAGGGAGGCUUCUCUGCCCCAGUGUCCCUGCUGCACAGCACCUCCUAAAAAAAGAGAGGUAACAACUGUGAGUGCUGGGUUCCUUACGUCCCUUCUCAACUGAAGAGAUCCAAGUCUUUCCUGAAACUCUUCUGGAGUGCCAGAGACAGGCUGGAGUCAGUCAGAAAUGAUGCCAGUGCCCCGGGACAUCAGCAGAUACAAGCUCUCACCUCGCCAGGGCUCCUGAUGGCACAAGCAGCAGCAUUGUGGCUCUGCUUGCCAGAGCACUGGGAAGCCAAUGCCACCUCCUGGCCACAAACCCUGCGGGACUUGGGUCACCUAACUGCAAGAGGAAGCUCACGAUAAGACUUAAAGCUCUCUACAGCUCCCUGAAAGGAGGUUGUGCUGAGGUGAGAGUUGGUCUGCUCUUUCAGGUAACAGCAAGAUGAGAGGCAAUGGCCUCAAGCUGGACAUGGGGAGGUUCAGGUUGGAUAUUGAAACAUUUCUUGUCAGAAGCACAGGCUGCCCAGGGAGGUGGUGGAGUCACCAUCCCUGGAGGUGUUCCAGAA